CGAUAUGCUUUGGGGAGCUGUACGUAAGCGUUGAUCCAGAGAUUUCCGAAUGGGGGAACCCACUAUCUUUAGUCGGAUAGUAUCCUUACGUGAAUACAUAGCGUAAGGAAGGCAGACCCAGGGAACUGAAACAUCUAAGUACCUGGAGGAAGAGAAAGAAAAAUCGAUUUCCUGAGUAGCGGCGAGCGAAACGGAAAGAGCCCAAACCAAGAAGCUUGCUUCUUGGGGUUGUAGGACACUCUAUACGGAGUUACAAAAGAAAGUUAUAAAUGAAGCGGUCUGGAAAGGCCCGCCAAAGACGGU
rnacentral:rRNA from 1 species